CAGAGUUAUCUAACUCCCAAACCCAUGUGAACUUACCUAUGUUGCCUCGGCGGGGAAGCCUACCCGGUACCUACCCUGUAGUUACCCGGGAGCGAGCUACCCUGUAGCCCGCUGCAGGCCUACCCGCCGAAGGACUGUUAAACUCUGUUAUUUUAUGGAAUCUGAGUUAUUAUACUUAAUAAGUUA
rnacentral:misc_RNA from 1 species